rnacentral:rRNA from 1 species
AACGAACGCUGGCGGCAUGCCUAACACAUGCAAGUCGAACGAGACCUUCGGGUCUAGUGGCGCACGGGUGCGUAACGCGUGGGAACCUGCCCUUAGGUUCGGAAUAACUCCCCGAAAGGGGUGCUAAUACCGGAUAAUGUCUUCGGACCAAAGAUUUAUCGCCUUUGGAUGGGCCCGCGUUGGAUUAGCUAGUUGGUAGGGUAAAAGCCUACCAAGGCGACGAUCCAUAGCUGGUCUGAGAGGAUGAUCAGCCACACUGGGACUGAGACACGGCCCAGACUCCUACGGGAGGCAGCAGUGGGGAAUAUUGGAAUAUGGGCGAAAGCCUGAUCCAGCAAUGCCGCGUGAGUGAUGAAGGCCUUAGGGUUGUAAAGCUCUUUUACCCGGGAUGAUAAUGACAGUACCGGGAGAAUAAGCUCCGGCUAACUCCGUG